rnacentral:rRNA from 1 species
GACGAACGCUGGCGGCGUGCUUAACACACGCAAGUCGAACGGAAAGGCCCUGCUUUUGUGGGGUGCUCGAGUGGCGAACGGGUGAGUAACACGUGAGUAACGUGCCCUUGACUUUGGGAUAACUUCAGGAAACUGGGGCUAAUACCGGAUAGGAGCUGCUGCUGCAUGGUGGGGGUUGGAAAGUUUCGGCUGUUGGGGAUGGACUCGCGGCUUAUCAGCUUGUUGGUGGGGUAGUGGCUUACCAAGGCUUUGACGGGUAGCCGGCCUGAGAGGGUGACCGGCCACAUUGGGACUGAGAUACGGCCCAGACUCCUACGGGAGGCAGCAGUGGGGAAUAUUGCACCAUGGGCGGAAGCCUGAUGCAGCAACGCCGCGUGCGGGAUGACGGCCUUCGGGUUGUAAACCGCUUUCGCCUGUGACGAAGCGUGAGUGACGGUAAUGGGUAGAGAAGCACCCGCUAACUACGUG